rnacentral:lncRNA from 1 species
AGUCCCCCGCGGGACGGCCCAGUUACCUCGUGCGACACACAUUCCAGCGAUCGAAGCUCACUGCAGUAGCGGCAGAAGUAGAGCUGUGAGAGCGGAGCCCGAACCUUCUUUUCUCCUUGGACGAGAUAGAGAACCCGCUCCGACUGCAGCAGGGACGCCAUCUUGGUGAGGGAGGAGCCAACGCCCGGCGCACCCGUCACGUGACACAGCCCGGCGCUUCCCUCCCCGCGUCCCCUACGCCUUUUACGUAGACGUUGACGUAAGCUAAACCGACCCAGCAGGACGUUGCGGUCUAAGUGCGCGUGCGCUCCUCAGGUUUCAGUCCCACACUCCUCGUUUCCUGGAGCCUUGGCUGCUGUGGCCCUCCUGGGGUGCUCUGCGCAAGUCCAAGUCCAAGUCCAGACAGGCUCAGUGCUCUUUGUAUCAUCCAGAAAGUAAGGGUGCUGUUUGUUGUUUUGUACAAAGGCCUCUUCCUACCCCCAGCUUCCAGGGCAGAAUUCCAUCCUGGAAAGCCGAGUUACAGCAACACAUUCUUCCGACGACCUUGCCACAGACCCCUUGAAACAUAGGUUCUCUCUUUUGAAAUAAUAGUAAGCUCUAGCAUUGGAGGUACGAUUCAUUUUUAAGUAUGAAGAGUUAGCGAUGAAUCUAUAUACUGUGAACAUGUAUUAUCAUUGGUGGAAGACAGAAAGCAGUACAAGGGACAUCUGUAUUCUGUGUGUCCAUUAAGGCUGAGAUGUGAAGCCCUGAAGUACCACCCAGAGCCAGGCUCACAUUGUCUGCCACCAUGUGUUUGUAUAGUGCAUUAAGUGUCUGACAUUAGAGCCCAUGAUGGAAGCAGAAAGAGAACCUUUCUAUAAACAUUGACAGUGGAAGUAGACGAAAUGUAAAGCAUACCACUGCUUCAAUUCUCAUGAAACCUCAAAGGUAGAUACUAGCAUUAUUUCUAUUUUAGAGAGCAGGAAACCUGGGCUUAGGGAAGCACGGCGAUUUGCUUCCUGUUUUUUCUUAUGUUUAUUCCAGGGCUGGCACACAUUGCCCCCAUAUGGAAUACCUUCAGCACAUUUUCUAAGAAGGCAAUAGCUUACUUUAUAAAAUGUUUUUCAGUUAUACAGCAUUUAAUGUAUAUUAUAAAUAGUUAAAUGUUAAUAGAUUAAAUCUAAAAUUUAUUAAAUCACACUCUUUUUCUAAGGUUGGAGGGAUUUUAUUCAGAAAGCAAAAGUCCAGAGCAGAUAUGAAGCUUAGUGGACUACCUGAGUUAGAAGGUUCAAAGGCUCUCUACUCUUGUUUGCCAGGAAAACAGCCUGGCACUAGAUUAGCUUCAUAGAUGUGUUUUGCUCACAGGAGAAAGUAUAUUAUUAUCCAGAUAAUUUGCAGUUGUUUUUUUUUUUUUUACAUGUUAGUGAAUUCGUUGGCCUCAUGGAUUAUCAUGGCUUAUCAUCUUUUAUUUUGUUUUUGUGAGUUUAAAUCUCCUUUCCUGGAUAGAGACACAUUCUCCCUUCUCAGGGGUCAGGGUCUAGGACCAGAGCCAGCCAGUGUUUUUUAAGUGCGGUUUUGCAUCACCAGAGGAAUUGCCUUAGGGAUUUAAAACGGAAAAUCUAGGUUUACUUAUAUAGAUUCUGACGGCAGAAUCGAUAUAAAUUUCUAGGCAGGAAUGUAACUUUACAGCAGGUUCCCUUGUGAAUCCUACACCUAUUACAAGACCUGGGUUUUGAUAAUCACUUGGGUUUUUGUUGUUGUUUUUGUUUUGUUUUGUUUUCCUGCCUUUGGGCUUGACCCUAGGCACAGAGAGCCUUCUCUGCUGUCGUCUGUUAGCACUGCUAAACAGAACACCGGGCAUUAUGAGGUCAUUGUGCUAUGGAAUAAGGACAGCCCCUCAUGGCAGAGAAUCAACACACCUUGAUAAAUUUCUUGAUAGGUUUCUGUCGAAUCUCCCCAGGGGUCUGGACCCUGUUCUUGUUAACUCCAGUACUAUAGCACUAUAGCUUCCAGAGUCUGAAAAUUGGAGUUAACUUUAGAGAUCUGUGUUCCAAUGACAGCACUGGUGUCAGUCCCAGGUCGCCACUAACCUUAUUAACUACAUAGCUGAUAUGUGAAUAGAUUUUGGGAAUACUUCUGGGAACCCAUUUGGUCAGCCACAAAAUAUGAGUUAGCAUUCUGCGGAGGAACUAGUGUAGGUUAGAGGCUGUGAGCGCUCCCUCCUCCACCCUUCAAGAUUCUUUGUCCCUUAGAGGGUUCUAGCAGGAUGAGGUCAUCUGUGCACAGUGAUGAGCAGCCUGUAACGUGGCCUCAUAGUGCUUUUCACCCUUCACUAAGGCUACUGGGAUCACAUUUUAAUGUUGGAUUCACCGUGAGCUUUGUUUUUUUAGCAUGAGUAUUGGGUUAGCACGGGGACCCAGAAGUAGCACUUCCAGAAAGAGGAAAGGCUAACCACACUCAAAAAGUACUGAGAGUAUGUUGUGAAAAGCCAGCUCAAUGUGCAUUCUUACCCAGACUUUAAGAGAUUUCAAACUUCCCUAUUGUUUUGUCAACGUAAAAUUUCUAAUCUGGGUCAGUGGUUUUGGUAUUCCCUGGCUAUGCACUUUUGAAAAAAAAAUCCAUUUAUAACUCCAAGUCUUGUUUGAGAACAUAGAUUGAGAAGAAUAUGACUUGUUUUGGUGGGGAAAAAAAGUUACACCAUGAGUGUAAAAGCACUUUGUGAACUGUGAAGUGUUAGGCACAUAAGAACAUUUCCAAAACCUCCAGUGGAGAGAUCCUAUUGUGACUUCCUCUCAGAAAUGUUUCAGAACAAGUUCACAGUAACAACAGAAAGAACUUGGAGGUAGGCUUUGGCCCAGUCAGCUCCCAAGGAACCUCUGAGACCCAAGGAACUGUGCCAACCGUGGCUGGCCAUUUGCCAGGGCUGCCUUCUCCGCUUGGGGCUUCCUGUUCCAAAACUACACUAAUCACAGGCUUUCCUCCGUAGAGCCUGCAGUCUUAUCAGAACACAGCAAGUACACAGAAAGGGCAUGUCUCAACAGCUAGCCCCUCUCAAGAAAUGUGGCGCUGUUGCCUAAACUCUGAUUCCCAAAUGUAAACAUGGCAAAAGUCUGCAGGCGUGCUGCCAUCCUAGCAAACCUUCUCCGGAUCCUGAACUGGGAAUAUUUCCACUCACAGCGUAUGUUCCUCACAUGCUCGCAACCUCUGAGAGCUGCCAGAGUUUUACUAGCACCUGCCCGCCUUAGCCAAAAACCCUGGGCGCUUCCUUGGGGGCUCCUUCUUUUUUGAUUUUACUUUCUAAAUAGUUCUAACUUUCAUCUCUCUUCAACUCUCUUAGUUCAGAGUGGUAUUGUUUUCCUCCUAGGUUUUCUCUCAGCCGCCACCCAAUCUGUCCUCUGCAUUGAGCCUGAUUGGGCCGGCAUGGUGCUGUACUGGAGAGGCAGAGACACAAGUAUCUCUGUGAGUGUGGUCCAGUAUUCUGGUAGGCCAGGCCUGCCAGAAUGAGAGAAUAAGAUCUUGCCUCAAAACAAAAACAAAAUAAACAUUGAGAUAGACUGGUCUUUCUAAAAAUCACAUUUCAAUCCUAUUUAUACAAAUAAAUUUGUAUAAUCCUAUUUAUACAAGUAAAUUUGUUCUAUUGUUUGUCUUUCUUCCUUGGCCUCUCUGUCACCUAUAAGGCAACCCGCCUCCCACCCCCAAACUCUUAGGGUAAUGGAUAAGCGUUUCAGGAUCAGAGACCUGUCUGCCUCUUUGGCCUCAUGUACUUAAACCUCACCCUGCUUUCAAGUCCUGUGUAACUCUAACUCUGACCCAGGAAUAUUCUUGGUCCUUUUAUCCCUUUGGGACCCUGUAAGUGCAGUUUCCUCAGUCAGGAACUUUUCAUCUGCUUGUUAGUUCCAGGGUAUUUUCCUCUAUGAAAACUUCCCAAACACUAAAAUAGCAGGGUUGGCCAUGCUUUCCCUUUUCCUACAACUGUGACCUGUUAGAGCAACUUGCAUGUGGCAUAUUUUUAAAACAAACACAUCUCCUUUCUAAAGAAUGAGCUCUGUGGAUGCCUGACAAAGGGCUUGAGGCAGAGCAGGUAUACAAUAAAUUGUAUUUGAUGACUUUUGCCUCUGAACACAUCACAUGCAAAUACUACCAAAAGCACUAACAUUGUCUGACAGGGAUGUAUACAUGAAACCCCACAGAGCAGAAGGCAGCCCAGCUUUUUUCCCCCAGUGCUCUCCUGCUUGCCUAUAGUGACUAGAGGUUUCCAUUUUGACAGGCUGAGUUUCCAUAGCAGUUGCCAACAGUGGAAUGCUCUGAGUUUAAGUGGCAACUAGCAUGAGCCCUAAGCACGGGUGAAGCUCAGGCCCAGGUAAAGGAGCAGAGAGAGGAACAGGCCCAGAAGACAGCUGGCUGGGCAUCUGAAGCCCCGCAGGGCCAGCUUCUUCAGCAAUAUGCUCAGGCUGCACAGACCAAGGCAGUGGUUGCAUUGGCCCUGAAGUUGGAGUUGGUGGGUACCCACUGUGGUCUUCUGGUAUAGUAGGCCGAAUGUGACUAAGACUGAACGUGAACUAACAGGUUUCCAAUCCUCAUCCCUGUAUUUUUCAG